UACGAAGGGGGCUAGCGUUGCUCGGAAUCACUGGGCGUAAAGCGCACGUAGGCGGCUUUCUAAGUCAGGGGUGAAAUCCUGGAGCUCAACUCCAGAACUGCCUUUGAUACUGGAGAGCUUGAGUCCGGAAGAGGUGAGUGGAACUCCGAGUGUAGAGGUGAAAUUCGUAGAUAUUCGGAAGAACACCAGUGGCGAAGGCGGCUCACUGGUCCGGUACUGACGCUGAUGUGCGAAAAGCGUGGGGGAGCAAACAGGG
rnacentral:rRNA from 1 species